rnacentral:rRNA from 1 species
UACGGGGGGGGCAAGCGUUGUUCGGAAUUACUGGGCGUAAAGGGCUCGUAGGCGGCCAACUAAGUCGGAUGUGAAAUCCCCAAGCUUAACUUGGGAACUGCAUCCGAUACUGGAUGGCUUGAAUCCGGGAGAGGGAUGCAGAAUUCCAGGUGUAGCGGUGAAAUGCGUAGAUAUCUGGAGGAAUACCAAUGGCGAAGGCAGCUCUCUGGGACGGUACUGACGCUGAGACGCGAAAGCGUGGGGAGCGAACAGG